AACGAACGCUGGCGGCAUGCCUAACACAUGCAAGUCGAACGAACCCUUCGGGUCUAGUGGCGCACGGGUGCGUAACGCGUGGGAACCUGCCCUUAGGUUCGGAAUAACUCACCGAAAGGGGUGCUAAUACCGGAUAAUCUCUUCGGGGCAAAGAUUUAUCGCCUUUGGAUGGGCCCGCGUUUGAUUAGCUAGUUGGUAGGGUAAAAGCCUACCAAGGCGACGAUCCGUAGCUGGUCUGAGAGGAUGACCAGCCACACUGGGACUGAGACACGGCCCAGACUCCUACGGGAGGCAGCAGUGGGGAAUCUUGCGCAAUGGGCGAAAGCCUGACGCAGCCAUGCCGCGUGAAUGAUGAAGGUCUUAGGAUUGUAAAAUUCUUUCACCGGGGACGAUAAUGACGGUACCCGGAGAAGAAGCCCCGGCUAACUUCGUG
rnacentral:rRNA from 1 species